UAGGGAAUCUUCGGCAAUGGACGAAAGUCUGACCGAGCAACGCCGCGUGAGGGAAGAAGGUCUUCGGAUCGUAAAACUCUUUUGUUAGAGAAGAACAAGGAAGUUAGCAACUGAACGUCCCCUGACGGUACCUAACCAGAAAGCCAGGGCUAACUACGUGCCAGCAGCCGCGGUAAUACGUAGGUGGCAAGCGUUGUCCGGAUUUAUUGGGCGUAAAGCGAGCGCAGGCGGUUUGUUAAGUCUGAUGUGAAAGCCCCCGGCUCAACCGGGGAGGGUCAUUGGAAACUGGGAGACUUGAGUGCAGAAGAGGUGAGUGGAAUUCCCGGUGUAGCGGUGAAAUGCGUAGAGAUAUGGAGGAACACCAGUGGCGAAGGCGGCUCUCUGGUCUGUAACUGACGCUGAGGCUCGAAAGCGUGGGGAGCAAACAGG
rnacentral:rRNA from 1 species